rnacentral:rRNA from 1 species
AUGCCGGCUGGCGUCAAGUUCGAUCCUAUGGAUCAGGAGCUGAUCGAGCACCUCGAGGCCAAAAGUGGCCUAAGGAAGCAUAUCUUCCAGCGUAAUUCCAGAGCAUUCAAAAGGGGCACGUGGACGCGUCGCAAGAUACAGUCGGAGUGCGGCAUGCACGCGAUGUGGCACAAGACCGGCAAUCCCUUGCCGGUGAUGGUCAACGGCCGACAGACGGGCAUCACAAAGGUUCUGGUGCUGCACACCAACAAGAACUUCGACCAGCAGAGGACCAACUGGGUGAUGCACCAGUACCACCUCGGGGACCUGGAGCAAGAGAAGGAGCGAGAGCUCGUCCUCUGCAAGAUUUUGUACCAGACGAACACUAGGGCCAUGAGUAAAAAGAUUAUAAGUUAG